rnacentral:lncRNA from 1 species
AUGUUAUGGAAACCACCGCUCGAAAAUGGGACCGCUUUUCAAAAGAAAAGAAAGACGCUGAAUUGUUUACAACCCCCUCCACAAAAAAAUGUGCGAAGAACUGUUCCCAACUGUUCCAACCCUUUCCCAACUGUUCCAAAACUUCAGCAAGCAGGCAUCCCCUCGCGAGACCGCACGACGUCUGGACCGCUCUUCAUCAUCAUCACGUCAGAUCUCAAGCAGCCCAGUGAGGGGUUGGCUCUCCGCUUCCAGCCACAGAGAUGCACUCCACUCUGUCAUCAGACUGGUCCCCCCGCAGCCAGAACUGUCAACACUCGUUGUUGGGCUGUCCAACACACACAUCAGCGGAUAUGGCGAAUACUAUCAUUGAAUAAAGACGGAGUUGCGUCAUGGAGCAUGAAUCAUGGAAACACAUUAUGUCUCGGACAGAUCUCAAUGAAACCUCUAUUUGAUGAGAGUCAAAUAUGUACGUGGAACAAAAUGAGCAAGGAGGAAGGAGCCAUAAGGAACAAGUUAAAGAUGGAGGUGGACGACUGGUGCUUAUUAGCAGUGGUCCAGCUCAGUCUUUAAUGGCUUUCGAGGCCAACCGGGGUCUUUCCCAGCCUCUAUGAAGGAGGUGCUGCCAAUCCAAGGUCGUGGAAGGGGUCAUAUGGGCUUUAUUCAAGACGGGCUCUUGUACUCUGCUUUUCGUGAUUACUGUUUUCAAUGUGGGGUCCGCAAACGCUAGCUUUGUGUGUUUCUGCACCGAGAUGAUUGACGUAACCCGAUCAGCCACGGGAGACAUUGACCGCAUAUUGCUGUGAAAACAAUAUCUGAACUUGUUAAUAUUAUCUGAACAAUAUCUGAACCCUCCUUCAAUAACUGCAGGAGGGGGGUUUGGUCCAAAUGUUGCACAUUUUAAUUUUUCUCCAGAACUAUUUGGCGAUGCUUCUUGGUUCUAAAUUGAAUUAGCCUAAAAUGCGGCCAUAAUUAUUGCAGAGAUGAAGGAUUGGCUCUUUCACUUGGUAGCACUAAGUGUAAGUUGUAAGGUUACAAAGUGGUUAACAAAGCGUUCUCUCUUCUAACUCUUAUGUGAUUUAGCCCCGAGGAACAUACAAAACUCCUUACAUACCAGGAAAGGUUAUUAAAUUGAGCUUAAAACUUCCUGUUCCAAAUAACUCCUUCAUUCCCUUUCG